rnacentral:lncRNA from 1 species
CCUCUAAUAGGGAGCUUUAGAUCAUGUCCAUCUAAUUAUGGCCACUAAGAAAAUACAGAUGUGACCAAAGGCACUUCACUUAAUUAUGAUCUAUGUUAGUAAAUUGUGAAACUUUCAUUAUUUGUCCUAUAUACCAUCCUUCAUGCUUAUAACCAUUGUCGAUGAUUAGCUUCAAGAGGAUUUAGAGACUGAAAAUCAUGACUGCUGAAUAAUACUAAUGCUUGGAUCCCUGACAGGCCUCCCAUGGUGUAACUGAAGAUACGAUAUGUGAAGUAGCCCUAGCUUGCCUGCUCAAGUGGACAAGAGCACUUUCACCAAAGGCCCACAUUGGCCUGAAAUAUCUUAUUUUGCCCAAGGCGUACUCAUGCCUGCACUCUCUUGUGGCCAUCAUUAGCACUUCUUCUCUUGAUUUUGUGAGCCUGCUAUAUCCCAACUCUUUAGGAUUACAUACAAACUUAUUUCUGCUACAUGUAUUCUGA